GUGGGGAAUUUUGGACAAUGGGCGCAAGCCUGAUCCAGCAAUGCCGCGUGCAGGAAGAAGGCCUUCGGGUUGUAAACUGCUUUUGUACGGAACGAAACGGUCCUGGUUAAUACCUGGGGCUAAUGACGGUACCGUAAGAAUAAGCACCGGCUAACUACGUGCCAGCAGCCGCGGUAAUACGUAGGGUGCGAGCGUAAAUCGGAAUUACUGGGCGUAAAGCGUGCGCAGGCGGUGCUGUAAGACAGGCGUGAAAUCCCCGGGCUCAACCUGGGAAUUGCGCUUGUGACUGCAGUGCUGGAGUACGGCAGAGGGGGAUGGAAUUCCGCGUGUAGCAGUGAAAUGCGUAGAUAUGCGGAGGAACACCGAUGGCGAAGGCAGUCCCCUGGGCCUGUACUGACGCUCAUGCACGAAAGCGUGGGGAGCAAACAGGAUUAGAUACCCGUGUAGUCC
rnacentral:rRNA from 1 species